rnacentral:rRNA from 1 species
AUAGCGUAUAUUAAAAUUGCUGCAGUUAAAGCGUCCGUAGUUGGAUUUCGUCCAAUUCGAAGAGAAGUCUGUCUGACCUCGUGUUAGUCAGUACACUUUUCGUUUCGGACUCGGGUGGAAUAGUUUCGGCUAUGCCGCUCUGUUACUUUGAGCAAAUUGGAGUGCUCCAACCAGGCUACAGCUUGAACAGCUCAGCAUGGAAUAACAAUAUAGGACUGUAAUCCUCCUUGUUGGUGACAUGGAACGCAAGUAAUGGUUGAUAGGGACAUACGGGGGCAUCUGUACUUGCUGGAGAGAGGUGAAAUUCUAAGACCCAGCAAAGACAAACAAGUG